UUUGUUAGCGCGACGGAGAUGAUGAGAACCUCCUCAGGUUCGAGUAGAGCGAAGCGAAACAACGUCGGAGCCUGCGACGACGGCCCGAAGGGUGUAAAUAAUCCUCCCGAGCGCGC
rfam:Oceanobacter sp. HI0075 HI0075_c63, whole genome shotgun sequence.